CAAGAAUAUUAGUCAAUGCUCGCAAGAGUGAACUAGCUAACUGAAAUCACAAGUACACGGUAUGUGUCACUUGAGAUAACGUAAGGGAUAAUAAUGAUAUUACCUUACUAUUAGUGUCGUCCAAAACUGGUGCCAGAAGACUCGGUAAGGCCAGAGACGCAAACGUUAGUCUUAUUAACCAGGCGUAAAGGGUAUGUAGGCAGCUUUCAAAAUUUUAUUUUAAUAUAGCCAUAGUAAAAUAAGACCAAUAAAAGCUAGAAUCAAAUUGAGGUUAAGCCAAAUAAUACUUAGAGUAGGGGCGACAUCCGUAGAAACUAAGUAGAAUACUAAGAGCGUAAGCUUUUUAACCAUUACUGAUUGACGCUGAGAAACGAAGGUGAGGAUAGGAAGUAGGAUUAGAUACCCAGGUACCCCUCUCUGUAAACGAUGAAUGGUAAUUAUUCAUUAAAAAAAUGAGUGAUGAUGUUAACACGUUAACCAUUCCGCCUUGUGAGUACGAUUGCAAAGUUGAAAACAAAAAAAUUAGUCGGUCCUGAAGAAAACGAAGUGAAGCAUGUUAUUUAAU
rnacentral:rRNA from 1 species